rnacentral:rRNA from 1 species
UACAGAGGUCCCAAGCGUUGUUCGGAUUCACUGGGCGUAAAGGGUGCGUAGGCGGUCGGGUAAGUCUGAUGUGAAAUCUCACAGCUUAACUGUGAAACUGCAUUGGAUACUAUCCGGCUCGAGGAAUGGAGGGGAGACUGGAAUACUUGGUGUAGCAGUGAAAUGCGUAGAUAUCAAGUGGAACACCAGUGGCGAAGGCGGCACUCUGGGACGGUACUGACGCUGAGACGCGAAAGCGUGGGGAGCGAACAGG